rnacentral:misc_RNA from 1 species
ACAGUAAGGCGUGUUGAUGC